UAGGGAAUCUUCCACAAUGGACGCAAGUCUGAUGGAGCAACGCCGCGUGAGUGAAGAAGGUUUUCGGAUCGUAAAGCUCUGUUGUUGGUGAAGAAGGAUAGAGGCAGUAACUGGUCUUUAUUUGACGGUAAUCAACCAGAAAGUCACGGCUAACUACGUGCCAGCAGCCGCGGUAAUACGUAGGUGGCAAGCGUUGUCCGGAUUUAUUGGGCGUAAAGCGAGCGCAGGCGGAAUGAUAAGUCUGAUGUGAAAGCCCACGGCUCAACCGUGGAACUGCAUCCGAAACUGUCAUUCUUGAGUGCAGAAGAGGAGAGUGGAAUUCCAUGUGUAGCGGUGGAAUGCGUAGAUAUAUGGAAGAACACCAGUGGCGAAGGCGGCUCUCUGGUCUGCAACUGACGCUGAGGCUCGAAAGCAUGGGUAGCGAACAGG
rnacentral:rRNA from 1 species